GUGGGGAAUAUUGGACAAUGGGCGAAAGCCUGAUCCAGCCAUGCCGCGUGUGUGAAGAAGGUCUUCGGAUUGUAAAGCACUUUAAGUUGGGAGGAAGGGCAGUAAGUUAAUACCUUGCUGUUUUGACGUUACCGACAGAAUAAGCACCGGCUAACUUCGUGCCAGCAGCCGCGGUAAUACGAAGGGUGCAAUCGUUAAUCGGAAUUACUGGGCGUAAAGCGCGCGGAGGUGGUUUUGUAAGUUGGAGGUGAAAUCCCCGGGCUCAACCUGGGAACUGCCUCCAAAACUGCAUGACUAGAGUACGGUAGAGGGUAGUGGAAUUUCCUGUGUAGCGGUGAAAUGCGUAGAUAUAGGAAGGAACACCAGUGGCGAAGGCGACUACCUGGACUGAUACUGACACUGAGGUGCGAAAGCGUGGGGAGCAAACAGGAUUAGAAACCCUGGUAGUCC
rnacentral:rRNA from 1 species